rnacentral:rRNA from 1 species
UACGUAGGGUGCGAGCGUUGUCCGGAAUUACUGGGCGUAAAGAGCUCGUAGGCGGCUUGUCACGUCGGAUGUGAAAGCCCGGGGCUUAACCCCGGGUCUGCAUUCGAUACGGGCAGGCUAGAGUUCGGUAGGGGAGAUCGGAAUUCCUGGUGUAGCGGUGAAAUGCGCAGAUAUCAGGAGGAACACCGGUGGCGAAGGCGGAUCUCUGGGCCGAUACUGACGCUGAGGAGCGAAAGCGUGGGGAGCGAACAGG